AUACUGUCCUAAGGACUGCAGAAACAAUUAUCUGUUUUUAUUAGUUUAAUAUCUGAUAUGUGAACCAUUGGUUCACACGAUACUAAAUUAAUUUUUUGAGGGGAGGAUCCACUACAGUAGCUUGCUAAGUUGCUACUGGGGCCCUUAGGUGUUGCUCAUGCGUUGCACUACUACAUGGGCUUGGCACACCCGAC
rfam:Glycine soja cultivar W05 scaffold319_28, whole genome shotgun sequence.